AAGCUCACGUGGCUGAACUGAAGACAUACACCCUGUCCUCCAGCUGUAAUGGAGCAGAACUAUUUGCUGGAGGAAAGGGAGAACAGCGGGAGCAGAAUCAGCUUCAAGUGCCCCAGCAAGAAUCAGUGCUGGAUUUCUGCUAAAGCUUUUAGUGCAACUGCUGUCAUUGGAAAUAUUCCUCGUGCUCCCUUCCCUAAAGGAGAGAGGUAAGAGCAAUGGUCAAGAUGAGCGACAGCUGCUUCAAAUAUGAACAAAUAUCCAUAUUUGGCCUGUUCUGCUACUCACAUAAAUUUUCUAUUACAUUUGAUCUGAAAUGUUAAGAAUACAUGUAUAUUUACUAGUUGCUAUUUCUUGUCUACUCUUUGCUGAUGGGUGCUUCUCCCUCAUGAUAGUUUGCUUAAAUAUAUCUCUGAGAGAUAAUGACAUGUUGCCUAAGCACACUGCAUUCUCAUAAGAUAACAAAAUAAUAAAAAAAAACAUUUUGUUUGUACCUAUAUCCCAUUUGUGCCAGUCAAUAAGACUGAUGGACUGUCUUCUCUUUCUUUCUUUCAUUCACAAUAGUGUUUUUGUUCAAAUCAUUGAUUUAUCAUAGAUCUAAUGAUUCUUUUCUGGUUUUCAGCUUGAAAAAUAAUCUUCCCCUGGCUCAUUACUGUAGUAUUUCUUAUCAAAACAGCACAGUCAGUCAUCUUAAGUUUAAGAUCAGACUGGGAAGGUAUAGGAAGGUCUGGAUGAUUUAAAAACCAUGUUCAGAAGAGAUUUUUUUUUUUCUGCUAUAGAGAAAAAAAUAUAUAGAAAAUUAUACAAAGACAUUAUUGGAAUUGGUGUCUCCAUAGAAAGUGGGUACUGUGAACUGCAGAUGUUUUUAGAACAACAUUAUAGAUGGUUUUAUGUGGGGAGAGCUUUGAAUAUAUCUGUGGAUCUGUGUAUUGCAUUGCCAAUAAAAUCUUUUAUUAGCCUUCAUUCUGGUUUUUACAUUCAAAAUUCAAUGGUCAUUGACAGUCAUCACAUUCAAACUCCCCAGAAAUACACCUUUGCUAGUGUGGGAUCCAACCUUUUGCUUAUCUCAGUGUAGGGAUCAGGAAGGAGAGUCUUAGCUCAUCAGAUCCACAAGGAAACGCCACAAGAGAGAGCUGGGUGGGGGAUUAGACCACAGUGAGGACCAGUUAUUUAAUGGUGUUCCUGGCUGGCUGGAGGCCCCAGGCUUCUGCUCGGACAGUCAGGAGCUUGGAACACAGACACAGAGUGAAACAGAGGUCAAAGAUACACCUUGCCUGUAACUGUAUGCCUGUUCAGGGACUAUUUGCAAUUCCUCUGCUCUGACUGUUGACACAUAAUCCCAGUCCUGCCCCAUGGAGGUACCUUUACCAGAUGUGUACAUCCAAAAGUUCAUUGAAGAAAGUGGGCAUUGACUCUCUAGGUCUGUAGGAAGUCUGGGCGCUUUGGUACCUAGUCUGAAUUUCACA